GUCGGCGCGCGUUUUGUUUCGCUGGUGAAUGCGCGGAAUGCAACGAUGAGCGAGCCUCUCUCCCAUGGCUACCUGAAGUCAGACGAUAAGCUUUUUGAGAGGUCCUUGGCUGCCGUCAACGAGAGGUAUGCUGUGCGGACAUCAGGAGACCUGAACAAGCCGUCUAAAUCCAAUGUCGUCUUCUCCACAAUCCACUGCGGAUGUCAAAUCCCUCUGGGGAAUGUGCCAUUUCGAGUUGUGAAGGAAACAGUCAGUCUGAAAGUUCGGAAUGGAAUACUACAACAAGACUCAGGGAGAAAAAGACCAGGAUUCAAGCACCACUGACCACUGACUGGCCGAAGGAGGUGUACGAGAAAAAGUAAAUGAACCUACAAGGUGCAAAAAAGAGGGUUCAUGAGACUUUUCCCCUUUCCGUAGAACGGCUAUGUAGUACGCACCAUACUAACGACUGAUGCACCAUACAUCAGGUCGCAUGUUUUCGUUACAUGAUGGGCAAAAACUAGACAGCUCAACAUUGACUGUUUCGAGUUCCACGAUACUAAAGUACAUGUUGAGACUAAUUGAAAAAUACUAGCUGAUAAAUGCUAAGUUUAGACGAUUGCCUAUUUUCUUGUGAAUUCCUGUUCUUUAUGCAACCCCUUUUUAUAUCCCCAUUCCAAUAGGGUGCCAUUGAAAAAUGUUUUAAGUCUGGAUAAUGAAACAGCUCCCUCAAGUCACUAGUAUCAGUAUGUAUACCUAAACAUUUCGCUGAAAGCGUAGUUCUCAUAAUUGCCCUCGAAAAUGGCCAGUUUGCCCAGCCUCUAAUUCCAGUCACAACUGUUGAAGUACACUUGGCGAAAUUGCUCUACUGUACGUGUAGG
rnacentral:lncRNA from 1 species